rnacentral:rRNA from 1 species
AACACCAAAGGGGAAGGCCGGUUUUCUGGGCCAAAUAAUGACGCUUCUUAUGUGAAAGCGUGGGUAGCAAACAGGAAUUAGAUACCCUGGUAGUUCACGCCGUAAACGAUGUCAAUUAGGAGCUGGGACGUAAGUUUGGGUUCCGUAGCAAAACGCAAUAAAUUGACCGCCUGGGGAGUACGCCCGCAAGGUUAAAACUCAAAUGAAUUGACGGGGGCCCGCACAAGCGGUGGAGCAUGUGGUUUAAUUCGACGCAACGCGAAGAACCUUACCUGACCUUGACAUAGUGAGAACCUCUCUGAAGGGAGAGGGUGCCUUCGGGAAUUCACAUACAGGUGCUGCAUGGCUGUCGUCAGCUCGUGUCGUGAGAUGUUGGGUUAAGUCCCGCAACGAGCGCAACCCUUGUCCUUUGUUGCCAGCGGGUAAAGCCGGGAACUCAAAGGAGACUGCCAGUGACAAACUGGAGGAAGGUAGGGAUGACGUCAAGUCAUCAUGGCCCUUACGGUCAGGGCUACACACGUGCUACAAUGGGGCGUACAGAGGGAAACGAAACCGCGAGGUGGAGUGGAACCCACAAAGCGUCCCUAAGUUCGGAUUGGAGUCUGCAACUCGACUCCACGAAGUCGGAAUCGCUAGUAAUCGCAAAUCAGAAUGUUGCGGUGAAUACGUUCCCGGGCCUUGUACACACCGCCCGUCA